GGUCAAGCUAAUAAGGGCAUAGGGUGAAUGCCUUGGCACCAGAAGCCGAUGAAGGACGGGGUAAGCACCGAAAUGCCUCGGGGAGCUGCAAACAAGCUUUGAUCCGAGGAUUUCCGAAUGGGGAAACCUACCUAGAUUUUCUAGGUAUCAUCUACUGAAUUCAUAGGUAGAUGAAGGAAUACCAGGGGAACUGAAACAUCUAAGUACCCUGAGGAAAAGAAAGAAAACUCGAUUUCCUAAGUAGCGGCGAGCGAAAGGGAAGGAGCCUAAACUUAUAGAGUUUACUCUAUAAGGGUUGUGGACCAGCAUCACAUAAAUUUAAUUUGUAGCUGAAAAACCUGGAAAGGUUUACUAUAGAAGGUGAUAGUCCUGUAAGUGAAACAAAUUAAUUUAUAGCUGGUAUCCAAAGUACCAUGGGGCACGUGAAAUCCUGUGGGAAGCUGGGAGGACCAUCUCCCAAGGCUAAAUACUAACUGGUGACCGAUAGUGAAGAAGUACCGUGAGGGAAAGGUGAAAAGAACCCCGGAAGGGGAGUGAAAUAGAAUCUGAAACCCUAUGUUUACAAGCAGUGGAAGCACUUUUUAUGUGCAACCACGUACUUUUUGUAGAACGAGCCAGCGAGUUACGAUAUAUAGCAAGGUUAAACUUUUUACAAAGUGAAGCCGCAGGGAAACCAAGUCUAAAUAGGGCUAUUAGUUAUAUGUCGUAGACCCGAAACCAGGUGACCUACCCAUGAGCAGAGCGAAACGAAAGUAAAAUUUCGUGGAGGCUCGAACCGUUUAGUGUUGAAAAACUAUCGGAUGACUUGUGGGUAGCGGUGAAAUUCCAAUCGAACCUGGAUAUAGCUGGUUCUCCUCGAAAUAGCUUUAGGGCUAGCCUCAAGUAAGUGACGUGGAGGUAGAGCACUGAAUGGUCUAGGGGCACUUUGUGCUACCAAAACCUAUCAAACUCCGAAUGCCACAGUCAUGUUGCUUGGGAGUCAGACUGCGGGAGAUAAGUUUCGUAGUCGAAAGGGAAAGAGCCCAGACCACCAGCUAAGGUCCCUAAAUCCAGAUUAAGUGGGAAAGGAUGUAAAGUUACACAGACAACCAGGAUGUUGGCUUAGAAGCAGCCACUCAUUUAAAGAGUGCGUAACAGCUCACUGGUCGAGUGGCUUUGCGCCGAAGAUUUCCGGGGCUAAAAUCUGGUACCGAAGCUGUGGAUUCGUAAGAAUGGUAGAGGAGCAUUCUGUAUGGGCUGAAGCUACACCGUAAGGAGUGGUGGACUAUACAGAAGAGAGAAUGCUGGCAUGAGUAGCGAUAAGGCGAGUGAGAAUCUCGCCCGUCGAAAGCCUAAGGUUUCCUGAGGAAGGCUCGUCCUCUCAGGGUUAGUCGGGACCUAAGCUGAGGCCCAAUGGCGUAGGCGAUGGACAACAGGUUGAGAUUCCUGUACUAUUUAUAUGCGUUUGAGAGAAGGGGUGACGCAGGAGGAUAGGCUAUGCGUACUGUUGGUUAUGUACGUCCAAACCUGUAGAAAGCUCCUAUAGGCAAAUCCGUAGGAGAGUUUCAAGAGGUGAUGGGGAGCGAAAAACAAGUAGUGAAGUAGCUGAAUCCAUACUGCCAAGAAAAGCCUCUAUCGAGUAUAUAAAUACCCGUACCGCAAACCGACACAGGUAGGCGAGGAGAAAAUCCUAAGACGUGCGGAAGAACCCUUGUUAAGGAACUAGGCAAAAUAACCCCGUAACUUCGGGAGAAGGGGUGCCAAC
rnacentral:rRNA from 1 species